rnacentral:piRNA from 1 species
GACAGAGGUGUAUGUUGGCAAUCUUCCAC